ensembl:lncRNA
UAUAAAGCAGUUUGUUCAGACAUUAUAAACACAAUUCUUUCCAAUUUAAAGCCAAAUUAAAAGGACAACCAACCCAGCUCACUCCAAGCUCCUCUAAGCUCCCGUGGCUUAGGAAUUCUCUCUAGGUUUUUCUCCACCUAGGAAAUGUACCGGUACCCCUCAAAACCUCUAGUCUUAAGACCUUACCCAGCUCAUAUAAACUCUUGGACCGUCAACUUAAAAUAAGGAGGUCCGGGUUUCAGGGGAACUCACCAAGGUCACCUGAAGAAUGCAGUGAUCCGGGGGGCUCAAUGGGCCCUUAUGGGUACCGAAUGCCAGUUCAGUGUAGAUUCCAGGUGGCCUCAGGUGGGUUUCUCUGAAAUCCUGCCGUGACUACGCCAAGAACUGUCGACGAAAAUAAUCCAUAACCAAUCUAUAAAUGAAAAUUUGGGUGAGUUUAUGCUGAGCUUAAAUUUUAGGAUUAUAACCCAGGAGGUCUUUCCACAAAGGAACAGAGCACUCCAAAGAAGUGGGGGCACAUAGGGUGGUUAUAUACCCUCAAAGAGGGUGUUUCACAUGAUUGAAAUGUCCCUCCCACAAUAGUCACAAGAUUGCCCUGUGGGCACAGCACUUGAUGGACACAGCAGGCAGUGAGUCUGCUAUCUCCAAGGGCGCAGCAGGAGGAAAGUCUAUUGUCUCAAGCUGGGCGGUCACAGGUGAGUGCAGCAAUCAUUUCCUAGCCUAAGCAAAGAUGCUUAAUCCUUAAGGAGACACCAACGUUGGGAGGGGGAGGGAAGUUGCACCUUUAUCUCAAGGGCCUUUUGCUCUUGCCAUAGGGAAUCUCUAAAGCAGAUAUACAAUGCAUGCUCAACGGCCUUGGUCAGGCCCUUUUGGAAAGACAAGGUCAGGCCGAAUUAGGUUUAUACCAAAAUGGCUUCCUCAUAUAUUCCAAUAUAUCCUAUUACUUGCCAUUUUUAUUUGACACCUGGCAGGAGGUCUUCUCAGCCUUCACGGAAUUGAAGAGAGUGAGGACCUUGCUCUGGAUGAGCUUGGGCUGAAGGGAGAGUUGUGGCUGGUUUGAUCUUCUAUCCAGACCACUAACACUGUCUCCCUGUCGGCAAUAAGGCUGUUUUGCUUUCUUCUCAUUCAUGUGUUCACUGCAGUAGCACUUUGAAUUUCCUUCAAGAACUUUUCUUUUGUGUUCAUGACUUGGCUGACUCUCUGGUGCCAGAGGACUAGCUCUCAGCUGCCUCAGCUUUGGACAUGGCUUCCUCAUGAAGCUUAAUCAUUUCUCACUUUUCAUUUAAGGUGAGAGGCGUGUGACUCUUCCUCUCAUUGAACACUUAGAGGCCAUUGUAGGGUUACUAGCUGGCCUAAUUUCCAUAUUGUCAUGUCUCAGGGAACAGGGAGGCCUGAGGAUAUGGAGAGAGAUGGGAAUGUCAGCUCAGUGGAGAGGUCAGAACACACACACAUUUAUCCAUUAAGGUCUCCACCUUAGAUGGGCUGUGUUCAUGGUGCCCCAAAACAAUUACAAUAGUACCAUCAAAGACACUGAUCACAGAUCACCAUAACAACUAUAAUAAUCAUGAAAAAGACUGGAAUAUUGCAAGAACUAUCAAAAUAUGACACAGUGACAUAAAGCGAGCAAACACUGUUGGAAAAAUGGUGCUGAUCGAUUUGCUUGACAUAGGGUUGCCAGAAGUUCUCAAUUUGUAAAAAGCGCAGUAUCUGCGAAAUGCAAUUAAGGGAAGCACAAUAAAAUGAGGCAUGCCUGUAUUCUUAAAGAAUGAAAUCCACACCACACUGUUGGGGAAAAGUGCAAUUCUCCACAGAGAACUCUAUGGAGAGGAAGCAAUUUAAAGCAUGAAAGAGCAAAACAAAUCACAUGGCAGGCAACUCCCGGUGAUGUUGGGGGCAGUUUUCCACUCUGUAAACACUGCUUUGCACUUUGCUUCUGGGUUUCCAACACCGUGCAGCCUUCCCUCUGAUGGCUGCCUGGCAGGGACCUGGGAGGGUGGGCAGCCAUGGGAGGGCAGCUGAAGGCACAGAGCCCUGCUGCUCUUGAGGAGCCCUUGUCUUUAGGACUGAGAAAAGGAAACGAAAAAUCUGUGUUCAAAUGACAUUAUGAGUGAGAGAACAGUGAUCACAGCAAUUCUGAACAUAUAUGGUCCAAUUCUUUAAAAACCAUUGACCACCAAUGUUUAUUAAUAUAUUUUCUUUGAUCCUUAUAAGUCUGUGUGAGGGUAAGCAUUUAAAAGGAUGAAUGUCAGGCUCAAGAGGUCAAGUAAUUUGCCUCAGAUGUACAUAUCUAGCUAGUGUCAAGGCAGAAACUAGAAGGCAUUAAAUAUUCUCGGAGGGAAACACAGCAAAAGUCAACAUUGUGCAAUGCACUUAUGGAUCUAUGCAUUCCAAAGAAAGCAACGUGGUUAAAAAUGUUUUUCUCUUUCCUUUUUAAACUCUUUUGCUUGGGCACCUGCUUUUUGCAAGGUGUCUCCCGUGAGGGUGCACGUGGCACUCGCUAGGGAGCACAGCCUUCUUUAUCCAGAAGCUCCAGGAGAAUGGCAGCACACACUGGUGUGGCCCACACGCUCACAGUAAGGAGGUUUGAUCCUACCCCAUCACCAUCAUCCUGAUCCAUAGUUAGAUUUUUCUCCCUAUAGGACAUGAGCAUCCCUACACACUUAAAAGGAGCCAUCGUCCAGCCACUGGGCUCCUGCCACAGGGACCGGGGGACUCCACCUUCCAGGAGUCCCCAGACAUGCAAGGCCAAUUCAUCCUGAAGCCAAGGCACCCAGCCAGGAACCAGCAGAGGAAAGGCCAGAAGUCAGCGAGAAUUAAUUUUAUGGGCAACUGGGCCCUCCAGCGCGGCUCCAGCGCCUGCCAGGACCUUCCGCACGUGACGCCACCAUCCCCAAAGCCAGGGCAGCUCUUCGGCGUCAGCCUCGGGGAUGUGUGCGAAUGCGACAGCCUGCCCCCUUCUCUUUGGUGGGUCUCAUUUUGGUCUUCUGUGGCUUUCCUGAGGAGGGAGAACUCUGCGAGGUCAAGUGUCUCGUUCAAAUCUACCCCUAAACGGAGAAAUCUUUAGACAGCCGCUGGCUUUGGGGGGAAAGCUUUGCUAAUAUUACUUCAAAGAAUAAAAUCUGAUUUAGGUACUGCAGAGUCCUAAAGCAAACAUGACAAAGAAAAGAUACCCUUGUCCAUUCCAUAGGUUUCAGCAAAGACCCACAUAUGCCUGCUCAGAUCAAUGCAAAUGGGCUCUAUGUGGAUGAGUCUCCGAGAGUCCACCCCGUCUCAUCUUCUCUGAACUCCACAGUAGUCUUCAGCCUCCUUCAGCUGAGUCUACUCAAUCUCACUCCUCAGAAUCUCUCAGGUGACUUUGACCUGUAUUUCCAGUGCUGAAGCAUACAGACUCAGCCUCUGGCGUAUGUGGAUCCUUUCAUCCAAAUAGAAUGUGUCAAGUGACAGCCACAGAAUUUGGCCUGUGUUAACUCGAAUUGGUGUAUGGAAUUGUCAGUGUCAACAUUUAUUGAGCGUCCAGUAUCUCUGCAAGCACUCUACCAGAUCUAGGGAACUUUAGGCUAACGACGAAGAAAUGUGUCAUGCCAGUCCCAUGCUCCCACUACCUCAGUCCUUGCAAGUUUCACAGCAAAUUUAGGGGGUAGCUAUGAUUAUCAUCAUUCCCAAUUCACAAACGAGAAAAAAAAAGUAACCUCUCUAAAGUGUACACUGUGCCCUAGGCCACACAGCCAAGAUGUAGCAUCAUAGGAUUCGGGUCCCUUGGAUUACCUGACUCCAAUACCUAGAGCCUUUCUGCACCACAAGCAGAGGACAUGAAGAUGCAGCAAAAGGAAAUGAAAGAGUGAUGAGAAGGGGAUGUAAUUAGAGGAGGAGGAGAGGGGUUUGGAGAGCCCGAUUUGAAAAGAGAGAAAGCAAUCCAGGAAGUAGAAAUGGGGUACGCAGCCCCUUAAAGGGGAACGAACAAUGGGACAUGGGUAUGGCACGAAGAUUUCCAUAGCUGGGGAAGAGCAGCUAUAUUAGGGCACGAUGAGGAAAGAUUGGUGGAGUAGGAGCGGGUGAUUCCACAAAGGCCUGGAAGCAGGGAAGUUUGAUUCCAAAGUGUCAAUUCACUGAAAAGGAAAAUCUGACUUAAAAACUGUUUGAA